rfam:TPA: Bos taurus chromosome 9, whole genome shotgun sequence.
UCCCUGGUGGUCCAGUGGUUAGGACUCAGUACUUUGACUGCCGAGGGCUGAGGUUCAGUCCCUGGUCAGGGAA